rnacentral:tRNA from 1 species
GCGCCUUUAGCUCAGCUGGAUAGAGUGCAUGACUACGAAUCAUGAGGUCAGGAGUUCGAAUCUCUUAAGGCGCGCCA